rfam:Oryza barthii chromosome 2, whole genome shotgun sequence.
AAAAAAGUAAACCAUGGGUUUCCGUGUCCAAUUUUGACUGUCCGUCUUAUAUGAAAUAUUUUUAUAAUUCGUAUUUUUAUUGUUGUUAGAUGAUAAAACAUGAUUAAUAUUUUAUGCGUGACUUAUCUUUUUAAUUUUUUUUGUAAUUUUUUCAAAUAAGACGAACGGUCAAACAUUGGACACGAAAAUCAGGGUUUGUCUUUUU